GCAGGUGAAGGGUCUCUGUGCAUGCAGCAUCUCGGGGAACGCAACGCUAUCGGUGCCAACUGCCAGCCCUGCAGGGGGAGGCUGCCGCUGCGCCGGCAGGGAAUUUGGAGAGCUUUCCAGAUCUCUCCCCCAUAAGCUGUUUGUAGAAAGCCAUCUGCCCGCCCCGGGUACUGAGCUGGGGUCCGGCACAGGCGUGCCGGAGCUGGAAAGGCACAGCAAUGGGCGACGUCCCUCUUCUCUUAAUAUUAAACCCACGUCCUGCCCGUGGCUGCCCGCACUGCUCAGCUCCUGACAAAAGGAUGAAAAGAUGGGCAGCCUCAUGCUUUCCGGACGAGCCAGCAGCUGCGGAGGUGUUGGUGGUCAGUGCCGGGAGCACAGGGGCUGCGUGACCAAGCACCUCAUUUAUCAACCCCCCCCCCGCCCCCUGCACACCCAGCAGCCCCAGCUCCUUAUCUCUCUUCCCAGCACUGGCGUGGUCCGUGACAAAGGCUGGAGCAGAAGAAAUUGGUCUCUGUGUCAUCUCUGCAGCCCUCUUCUCAGCUGGUGCCAGAACCUGGAACAGGAGUAGCUGUUGGAUUUCUCGUUCCCUCCCUGGUCCAGGAGCCUGUGCAAGACUGUUUCCAUCACGAUCAUCAGAUACCGGCGCUCUGUAAUGUAUCAGGAAGAAAAGUUCAAGUUUGUUCACUGAGUGGAAGUUCUUGUGAAAUGUAGAGUCAGAAACAUGGGAGCGACCUUAUUGAAGCGGACCAUUUAGUUUCAGUCUAAACACCAGAGCGGGGAGAAAAUGGCAAGCAGAAAUACCAAAUCAUACGGCAGGAGCCAUUGCGUGAAUCGAGAGGGAGGAGCAGUCCCAGUUGCCGAGGCUCAGCACCCCAUGGCAGAGGGAGCACUCGACAGAUCGAGAGGUUUAG